rnacentral:other from 1 species
AGAGUUGUCAGCAGGAAGCAGACAUGGAACAGGAAAGCACCAAGGAUUUGGUUAUCGUCAGGAAGACGAUUUGGUUGGUCAGGAUGAUUAAUCAAGCAUGGAGCGUAGGACAUUGUAAGGACACUAUCAUCAAUAGGAUGUUGAUGACUAAGGAUAGACAAUGGACCCCUCUAGGAUAGAGGUCAUGGACAGCGUCAGGAAGAUGCAAGGGACACCGCUCAAGGAACAAGUGAUGUGUGCUAACGGGGAAUGUUAGCUAUCAGGAUGAUAAGGACACCGCUAGGACGGCGACGUAAGGAAUAAGCUGACGGAAUCAGCCACUAUUAUGGAUGAUGCAUGGAGCACUUUUAGUAGCCGGACUGCUGCGAGUAAGACCAUGACCCCGAUACUUAUGUGUCGGGGUCUUUCUUAUAUAA